rnacentral:rRNA from 1 species
GACGAACGCUGGCGGCGUGCUUAACACAUGCAAGUCGAACGGAAAGGCCCUGCUUUUGUGGGGUGCUCGAGUGGCGAACGGGUGAGUAACACGUGAGUAACCUGCCCUUGACUUUGGGAUAACUUCAGGAAACUGGGGCUAAUACCGGAUAUGAGCUCCUGCUGCAUGGUGGGGGUUGGAAAGUUUCGGCGGUUGGGGAUGGACUCGCGGCUUAUCAGCUUGUUGGUGGGGUAGUGGCUUACCAAGGCUUUGACGGGUAGCCGGCCUGAGAGGGUGACCGGCCACAUUGGGACUGAGAGACGGCCCAGACUGCUAUGGGCGGCAGCAGUGGGGAAUAUUGCACAAUGGGCGGAAGCGUGAUGCAGCAACGCCGCGUGCGGGAUGACGGCUUUCGGGUUGUAAACCGCUUUCGAGUGUGACGAAGCGUGAGUGACGGUAACGGGUAAAGAAGCACCGGCUAACUACGUG